rnacentral:rRNA from 1 species
UACGUAGGGGGCAAGCGUUGUCCGGAAUCAUUGGGCGUAAAGCGCGUGUAGGCGGUUCGGCAAGUCUGCUGUGAAAGUCCAGGGCUCAACCCUGGGAUGCCGGUGGAUACUGUCUGACUAGAGUACGGAAGAGGCGAGUGGAAUUCCCGGUGUAGCGGUGAAAUGCGUAGAUAUCCGGAGGAACACCGGUGGCGAAGGCGGCUUCCUGGACCGAUACUGACGCUGAGGCGCGAAAGCUAGGGGAGCAAACGGG